GGGGGGGGCGGGGGCCACACUACAAAUAUGGGUGCUUUGGGGCCUGGUUUGUGGACCGUGAGAAGUGCUGCCAAGUUCCGGGCUUGCUCUUUUCUCCUCUCUGCUCAGGCCUCUCCCUCCUGCUUCAUGAUUUAGGCCGCUUUAGGCCAUGCAGCUGUGGCUCAUAUUGAACCUUCACUGCAUCUGUGAGGCAGGUACAGCUGACACCCUUACUGGUGACUCACAGAGGAUCAAAGGUCUGAGUGACUUCAGAUGACGUGCACCACCCUCCUGGGCCAUGGAGAUCCACUUGGCUAGGAUGGCUUCCAGCUAGACCUACAGCUCAGACCCAGGCAACCCAUCUGGAAAGCAAGAAGGCUGCAAGUUCCUGCUGCUCUGACAUUGCAACUUCCUUUGGGACCUACCUCAAAGGUAAGUGUUCAGAGCGUCCUCCAGGUGUGCCCUACUUACUGACAGUCUUGUCUCGAGA